rnacentral:lncRNA from 1 species
GUAGCAAUUAGGUUUCUUUGCAGGAGAUGAAGCCAGACUGCUCAUCAUUCCAGACAUCUUCAGCUGCUACACCCAGAACAAGCAUUCGAAAUAUGAACAGGAUGGUGAGCCAGAUCUUUCCAAUCAUGGUGGAGUGGAUGUGAACUUCCUCCAGAGUAUCUCCAAGGAGAUUCCAGUCCCCCAUGUUUAUUUAGUCAGCCAUCUUAGCUCUGAUCCACAUCAAAUAAGAGGCAGAUAAAUUCUUCCAUUCUGAAGGGAGCACUAUUUCUUAAAGCAAACCUAUGGUGAAAAUAUAACAAUAUGUCACUUCUA